AAGGCCGCGGCCUAGUUGAACUAUAGAAACUUCGAUCCAUUCCUUGGUUUGACACUUCACUAUAUCUCAAAGAACUGGACCCUAGAGAAGCUGCUGGUGUAUUGUGGAAGUGCAGAAGGUAGACAUACAUCUCAAAACAUUGCUGAACUUCUUGACAAGGCAAUUAGUGAGAUUGUAGGCCUUCCAUCAAAUGUCCACAAGACCUGCACAAGUGAUAAUGCAGCUAAUAUGCUAGCAGCCAUCCCAAAACUGACAGAAGAAAUUCAGGAGGGCCUUGGGUGUGUUGACCAUAUACUUAACCUUGUGGUGACUGAGUGUCUCGGCAUCCCUGAAGUAAAGAAUGCUGUUGAUGCAUUCAAGAAAUUGUCAUCCAGAACUCACAAAAGCAGCAUUGCUACACAGAGGAUUAAGAAAGAGUGUGCCAGGAUAAACAAUCAAUCUAAGGAUGAUACAAACAUUGAAACUGAUUGUUGCCAUCAUUGGUCCACUCACCAAGAUUGAAGAGAUGUCUUUAUUCUUUUCUUCUGACCAAAAACCAACCAUCUGCUAUGUGGUGUCAAA